CUGCUUCUUGAGGAGGUGUGCUGUAUAGACAGAGAUUCCUAUCAUUAGUUGGAUGAGUUCUACUCUUCUUUCUAUAUAUGACUACUAGCCUACCUGUGAAUUCUUUGCCUGGUAUUGCUGAGAACAUGUAAGAAGCAAUCUUGCUGCUUCAUGAGCAGGACAGAUCCAUUUGCCCAUAUGUGAGCCUGCAUGUGCCCAGUUGGCUUCAGCUCCUUCUCUAGAAGAGCACAGCCUGCUGCCUCUAGCCAGAAGCCUCUCUGUGGGCAGAGUCUCGUUUCUUGUCAGUCACCACAAUGUGAGUAUUCUGCAGGAGAAGUCAUAUGUGAAGCCCACAGCCGACUUCACCCCAAGUGAUUCCCAAUCAGCUGCUCUUUCUAUCUCCAUGUAAACUCAGGACACUGGUCUCUUAAGAGAGCAGAGUUGCAGCAGAUCUGAACAGGAACGAUGAACCACUAUAUAAUAGGUCAAGUAUCAAGGAAUUCAGCUGUGAUUUUCAGAUUAUCUGGAAGACAGUUCGAAAGGAGUCUCUCAAUUUCAGUGGUUGGGGUCUUAACCGAAGAAGACAAACCAGUUUAGUUGGAAGAGGACAUCUUAAAUGAAACUGGCUGUGUAUGUGUAUCUUCCAGCUCACCCAGGCCUUGCUUGAGUGUAAUGCUCCAAUCCUGGUGUUAGGGGCCUGGUGGGUGUUAGAAUAUGUGUCAGUCAGCCAGCAGGCACACUCAACCUGUCUUCCCUUGUCUCUUCUAAAUCAUUUCCAAGGUAAUAUUGUGAGUAAUUUGUUCUUCUUAGUGUGAGCACUUUAUUUUUCUUGCAAUUCCUAAAAAUAACAGCUACUUAAUGGAGCCUUUCUGUUUCUAUUAUUCUGGUGGAAUAUUUUUGCUAUACGUGAUUAAUAUUGCAGAAACAAGAAUAAAGUGUUGGAUGUGCAUAAACAUGUUCUAAUCCCAAGUGAAACAGUAGUAGCAAAAUCACAGACCUCUUAUAUGAUAAUAACUAUAGCCUCAGAAGCACAAACAAAGGUGAAGUAUUCUCCAUGGGAUUUUGUCUCACAGUGUUGAAUGCCUAUUGUGAUUUCCUGAAAAAUGAAAUUGAAAUUCCUUUGAGGAAAUGUUAGAGCUCUUAUAUAUGAAUGCAUUAGCAACUGCAAUUUUAUGUGUAAUUUUACUUUCUGCGAGAUGGAAUUUGCUUGAACUGAUAAAAAAAAAAAAUCUUUUCCAUUAAGUGAAUAAAAUUACAAAAAAAAAAAAGGCAAGAAACUUAAAGGAACUUACUAUUGAAAAUUGACAGAAACCUGAAAGUAAAGAUCUUAUU
rnacentral:lncRNA from 7 species